CCUACGGGCGGCAGCAGUGGGGAAUAUUGCACAAUGGGGGAAACACUGAUGCAGCGACGCCGCGUGAAGGAAGAAGUAAUUCGGUAUGUAAACUUCUAUCAGCAGGGAUGAAAAUGACGGUACCUGACUAAGAAGCCCCGGCUAACUACGUGCCAGCAGCCGCGGUAAUACGUAGGGGGCAAGCGUUAUCCGGAUUUACUGGGUGUAAAGGGAGCGUAGGCGGUGCAGCAAGUCAGAAGUGAAAGCCCCGGGCUCAACUCCGGGACUGCGUUUGAAACUGUUGAACUAGAUUGCAGGAGAGGUAAGUGGAAUGCCUGGUGUAGCGGUGAAAUGCGUAGAUAUUAGGAGGAACACCAGUGGCGAAGGCGGCAUACUGGACUGUAAAUGACGCUGAGGCUCGAAAGCGUGGGGAGCGAACAGGAUUAGAUACCCCAGUAGUC
rnacentral:rRNA from 1 species